GAGUUUGAUCCUGGCUCAGGAUGAACGCUAGCGGGAGGCUUAACACAUGCAAGCCGAGGGGUAGAGUUAGCUUGCUAACUUGAGACCGGCGCACGGGUGCGUAACGCGUAUGCAACUUGCCCUACUGAAGAGGAUAGCCCAGAGAAAUUUGGAUUAAUACUUUAUAAUAGACUGAAUGGCAUCAUUUAGUUUUGAAAGAUUUAUCGCAGUAGGAUAGGCAUGCGUAAGAUUAGUUAGUUGGUAAGGUAACGGCUUACCAAGACGAUGAUCUUUAGGGGGCCUGAGAGGGUGAACCCCCACACUGGUACUGAGACACGGACCAGACUCCUACGGGAGGCAGCAGUGAGGAAUAUUGGACAAUGGGUGGAAGCCUGAUCCAGCCAUCCCGCGUGUAGGAUGACGGCCUUAUGGGUUGUAAACUACUUUUAUCUGGGGAUAAACCUACUUACGUGUAAGUAGCUGAAGGUACCAGAAGAAUAAGCACCGGCUAACUCCGUG
rnacentral:rRNA from 1 species